AGGUUCAACACUUUGUACUAUCAGGUUUUCUACUAUUUUUAGAAAAGAGAAGUUUAUGUUUAAGUUUGCUUUUUUUUUAUUGCAAUUACUUGGUAACAUGACCAGAGAACAGUAAUCACUUUAAUCACUUCUGCUUUUAAAAUAGAAUUAAAUAAAUAAUUUGUCUGUCAAUAAGUUUUCCGGUAACACUAACAGUUGUCCCUGUGCUAAAAGAGAACCAAGCUGUAGUGUGGAAGCUGUAUGCUGUAUGGGGAGCUGCUGCUGCACUUGUUCCUGCUUCUCUCUCUUCUUAUCGCCGUCCUGUGUGUUAAGAGGAAGAAAAGAGCAGAAAGAGACAUUCAGCUACUGAGAGAACUUUUCACUUCGUGUUUUAAUCUUCUUAAAGUUCCUAUAAAUCUGUUAAUAAAUAAAAAUUAAAGAGGUUUUCUCUUCAAUUCUCUCAGUGUGUUCCAACGCCUGGAGAUGACACAUACACAGCGCUGAACCUCAUGACUGUGUCCCCAGAAUAUGACACACUGCAAAAUAUUAAAAGCUCUGCCAGUGACACUUACACCACCCUGAACCCUGCACCCAUGUGCUCUGAUUAUGAUACACUGAGGAAGUGAAACAACCUGCAACCACAGUCUCUGGGAGUAAGUGUGUACUCUAUAAGUGUGUGUUUGUGCAAAAGGAUGUUUGUUUAAGGACUGAAGUUGCAAAAAGAAUUUCUGUCUCAUGUAAGAGUCAUUCAUUUGUGUCCGUUCACUCGGUUCUGUAAUGUUGACUAAAAUUGUUGUUAAUGUCUUUGUAUUUAGUUAUUUAAACAUUUUAAAACUUUGAUGUCAUUUGUUAUUUUUAUGUCUUGUAAACUAGAAUAAAAUGAUGAUAAAGUAAGGAACACACACCUCCCUGUACAGAAAUUCUAGUUUGCCCGAUGCGUUACUGUCCAGUGUUUAAAAUGUUUCUAUGUACAAGAAUAAAAUUGAUCUUAUGGG